GAUGAAGAACGUAGCGAAAUGCGAUAAGUAAUGUGAAUUGCAGAAUUCAGUGAAUCAUCGAAUCUUUGAACGCACAUUGCGCCCGCCAGUAUUCUGGCGGGCAUGCCUGUUCGAGCGUCAUUACAACCCUCAGGCCCCCGGGCCUGGCGUUGGGAUCGGCGGAGCCCCCCGUGGGCACACGCCGUCCCCCAAAUGCAGUGGCGGUCCCGCCGCAGCUUCCAUCGCGUAGUAGCUAACACCUCGCGACUGGAGAGCGGCGCGGCCACGCCGUAAAACACCCAACUCUUCUGAAGUUGACCUCGAAUCAGGUAGGAAUACCCGCUGAACUUAAGCAUAUCAAUAAGCGGAGGA
rnacentral:misc_RNA from 1 species